CCCUUAGAUGUUCUGGGCCACACGCGCGCUACACUGAUACGUUCAGCGAGUAUAUAACCUUGAUUGGAAAAUCUGGGUAAUCUUUUGAAUGCGUAUCGUGCUAGGGAUAGAUUAUUGCAAUUAUUAAUCUUGAACGAGGAAUUCCUAGUAAACGCAAGUCAUCAGCUUGCAUUGAUUACGUCCCUGCCCUUUGUACACACCGCCUGUCGCACAAACCGAUUGAAUGAUUCGGUGAAAAUUUUGGACAUCGAGAGUGGUGAUUAAUUUCGCUGCUCUUAAAUGGAAAGAAUUUAAACCUAAUUAUUUAGAGGAUUGUGAAGUCAUAACA
rnacentral:rRNA from 1 species